rnacentral:rRNA from 1 species
UACGGAGGGAGCUAGCGUUGUUCGGAAUUACUGGGCGUAAAGCGCACGUAGGCGGACUCUUAAGUCGGUGGUGAAAUCCUGGAGCUCAACUCCAGAACUGCCUUCGAUACUGGGAGUCUCGAGUCCGAGAGAGGUGAGUGGAACUGCGAGUGUAGAGGUGAAAUUCGUAGAUAUUCGCAAGAACACCAGUGGCGAAGGCGGCUCACUGGCUCGGUACUGACGCUGAGGUGCGAAAGCGUGGGGAGCAAACAGG